CAGGUCACGUAACGGAGUUAAAAUGGGACUUUCAUGAGCAGGAACAAGAACGAUAUGAGGCAGAUAUUAAGUCGCUCAUAAGGUUUUUAAAUGUUCCAAGAGAAGUUAGUUCCCUCAAGUUUAAAGUGCUCUGUAGUGAGUUCCAGGCAGCAGGUGCAAAAUACAUG